ACUCUCUUCUUGCAACAUCAGCGAAUUUCCAAAUUUUGUAAGAAAUUUAGAAGGUUUGAACUUUCUAAACCUUUCUUACAAUAGAAUUCAUGUUAUCGAGGCAGAUAUGUUUCUAAAGUUUAAAGGCCUUCAAGUCUUGGAUCUUUCGCACAACAUUCCGCUGUCUGUGGGCAACAAUAGCGAGGUUGAUCUUGUUUUGCCCUGGCUUAGUGACUUGUGCUUGUCUUCUUGUAAUAUAACUGAAUUAUCAAAUUUCUUGACAACGCAAGAGAGUUUGAUGUUUUUAGACCUUUCAAGCAACAAUAUUCAAGGCCGAAUUACAGAGCAAGAAAACAAUUGGGGAAGCAACCUAGUGAAUCUUGAUCUCUCUAACAAUUUGUUGACAGCUCUAGAAUAUUAUCCAUGGAAGAGUAUUGAACUUCUUGAUCUUGGCUCCAACCUGAUAGAAGGGCCACUUCUAGCACCUCCACCUUCCACGAUGGCUUUCUUAAUCUCAAACAACAGAUUAAAUGGAGAAAUUCCAUCUUCGAUAUGUAAUCCAGAGAGUUCGUAUCUCAUUCUUUAUCUCGACUUGUCCUAUAACAACUUGAGUGGAGCAAUCUCAAAAUGCCUGGGCUUGAGAUAUCAUUCAAUUUUGGAUUUGCAGAUGAAUAAGUUUUACGGAAACAUCCCUGAUUUUUGGGUUGAGAGAAAUUACGGGUUACAAAUACUUAACCUCAACAACAAUGAUUUUGAUGGGUCAUUACCUAAAUCCUUGGCCAAUUGUCUUGGUUUAGAAGUGUUAAAUCUUGCAAACAACAAGAUAAAUGACACAUUUCCACACUGGUUGGGAGACCUUCCUCAGCUAAAAGUUCUUGUGUUGCGCUCCAACUAUUUUCAUGGGCAAAUAGCCCAUUCUGCAAAUGAGUCGCAUUUCUCGACUCUGCAAAUUUUAGACCUCUCGUAUAAUAGGUUUUCUGGUUUUCUGCCAACAACAUACUUUAGAAAUUUCAAAGGUAUGACGAAUUUGGCCAGUGUUCCAAUGGAAUAUAUAGGAGCUGGCAGAAGCUAUUACAUUUAUUCCUUGGCUUUAACAAUUAAAAGUGUGGAAUUCAUGCUCGAGAGAGUUCUAACUAUUUUUGCAGCCAUCGAUAUGUCAAGCAACAGAUUCGAAGGAACAAUUCCAGAGACAGUUGGAAACCUUAUUUCUCUCAAAGUGCUCAACUUGUCUCAUAAUCACUUAACUGGUCAUAUUCCUUCCUCAUUAGGAAAUCUGGCACAAGUGGAGUCACUAGAUCUCUCUUGCAACAAGCUUGUUGGGGAGAUUCCUUCAGAGCUGACUGAUCUGAAUUUUCUUGAAGUGUUAAACCUGUCAGAGAACCAGCUCGUUGGCCUCAUACCUCAGGGAAAACAAUUCAACACCUUCCUCAACGAUUCCUACGUUGGCAAUACAGAGUUGUGUGGGUUUCCCGUGUCAAAAAGCUGUGGCCAUAGUGAUCCACCAUCAGCAAUUUUUGAAGAAGAGGAAUUUGAUUCUGCAUUUGGACUGGAUUGGAAAUUUGUAAUGAUGGGUUAUGGAUGUGGAUUGGUUUUUGGAUUUUCAGCAGGAUACAUCAUGAUGACAAUUCGGAAACCAAAAUGGCUUGUUUGGAUGAUUCAACAAGCAGGCAACAGAGUUCUUAGGAGAUUCAAGAAAAAUCGUUGAGGAAGAUGGAAUUUGUGAUGACAGAUGUUUUCUCAUCGAUGGCUAGCUGGUUGAACACCUUUUCUAUAGAAUAUCUCUCGCUUGCUCCAUAAUUUUAGAUUUAAGAGUUUGUCUCAUUUUUGUAUUGUCUUGUUUUUUUUAGGUUUCUGUCCAUGUGUUGUUGAUGAUCACUAAAUUAACUAAAAUUACGACAAAGGCAAGCGCACCUAUCGAAUAAUAAUAUAGCUAUGGUGAGUCGGGAAUAUCGUAUCCACAAGGACUAAAAGUACUAGUACUUACUAUUUUUCUAUUAUAUAGCCGAUAAUUUGAAGGAAUUAUUUUUAAUUUAAAACUAACUAAACUAAUUACUAAGAACGCAACAGAGAAUGAAUUAGGAAAAAUAAUCAAAUAAACCAAUGUGAUAGGCAAUACGCAGGAAAGAAUCCACCUAGACUUCACUUAUUAUUCUGAAUCUGAAUUAAAUGAUUUAUUCACUUGCGCCUUGAUCAGUAGGAAUCCCUAAGUUAUAUUAAUAUCUCUUUCGAGAGUAAGAAUAAUUGACUCUAGGUUGAUUAAUUGAAAUUUCUUUCUAAUUAAACCGCUAUUGUCGCAUUAACUCAAUCUAUAGAUUCCCCUAUUAGAUUUGACUCUAAUCCGGUAGAUUUAUGUUGUCCUAUUUCUAGGAUUGCAUGCAACUCCAUUCAAUUAUGCUAGAUCUACUCUUAAACAGGGAUUUUUGCUCCACUGAAAUAAGCACAUUAAGCAUAAAUUAAUAUUCUGAAAACAUUAAAACACGAAAUAAGCAUACAUAAUUGAAAACAAGAAUCAAUUAUUUAUCAUGUAAUUCAGAAAUCAAAUAAUAAGAUUCAUAUAGGUUUCAUCUUCCCUAGGUAUUUAGGGAAUUUAGUUCAUAAUCUGAAAUAACAUCAUCUCAAAGUUAGGACAACAACAAGACAUAAAGAAACUCAAUAAAACUUCUAAAGAAAUUGAAUGGAGAUAUUCAAUCUUGAAGGAGAUCCACUUCUGAAAUGAAUCUGGUGGCGUUCUUUAAGUCUUUUCUUCGUUCUUCUCUCCGUGUCCCCUUAGGUCCUAUUCUACUAUGUAUUUAUAAAUUUUAGAAUGCUUAGAAUCCCAAAAACUUAGCUUUUUCCGCGUAAAAGAGAAACAUGGUGCGAUACCAACACGAGCUGGCACAUAGGCGUGUAGCCAGCCUUGUAGCUCAAACAGGCGUGUGCCCAACCUGUGUGGAUCUUGAAAACAGAUUUUUUGUCUAAUUUUGGCCCGUUUUUCACUCCUUUUGCUCCCCUAUGCUCACCUAAUAUAGAAACAUGAAUUUAAAGUAUUAGGAGCAUCAAAUUCACUCAUUUACGUAAUAAAUCAUCCAAAAAUGCAUCAAAAAUGGAAUUAAAACAUGUUACUUUUAUAGCUUAUCAGUUGUUGUUAAGAAAUGGCUUGCACGCAGUAUGGUUUUGUCAUUGCAUGCAUGUUGCAAUAGGACAACAUGCUGUUAGUGUUUGUAUUUUGUAUCUUUGUUUCUUAGUUACAUUUGAACUAAGCUAAAAAUGUAUUUGUUUUGAUUAGGUGCUGAUAGACUUUAUAAAUCAGCUUAACCAAGUGUGAAAGUUAAGUUUUAUAAGUUUUAUAAUUUUGAAGACAAUGUAAUGACAGAUUUGCUUUCAGUCAAGAUGUUUACUUGUUUAAAUGGUUGUAAAAUUUCAGCUAUCAAUAUGAUGAACCUUUUCAACAUUUCUUUCUCUUGUUUUUUUUUUAUCCUAUCAAGCAAUUUUUCUUCAAGUUCACAGCUUGAUCUUUUGUUAUUUUUGAUGCAAGUCAUUGAAGUUUGUUGCUUAAGACUCAGCUUUGUUUUCGAUUUUGUUUCUUAACACCAACAAUUGGUAUCGAAAGCCAACUUCUUAGAGGGCCUUUUCUAUUUUCUAUUCUCAAAACAACAUGUCUUCAUCCAGUUUCUCUCCAGCUCUACCAUCAGUGUAACACCCCUUACCCGUAUUCCUUGAUGGAAUAGAGCACGAGGUAUUACUAUUUUUUUUAAAUUUCGGCAGCAUUUCUGCUUAUUUUUACAUAAAACCUCCUGCAAAUUUUCAAAGAACAAUUUCAAACGAUCUUAAUAUUUCAACCAAUUACAGUAUUAUAUGUGCAUACACAAUUUAUUCAAUAAUAAACACCAACAUUUUUAACCGAACAAUAUUUUACAAACAUAUUUAUAUCAUAUUACAUUAAGUCAUCUAUACAUGCCAUGUUUCAAAAGUAUUGAUUACAAAAUACCCCGAGAGAUGACGAUAGUGUCGAUGAUAUUCUGACUUCGUCCAACUUCCGGCAGAUUGUUAUCACUAUAAUCAAGAGAAAAAUAAAGAAGAGUAAGCAUAGCUUAGUAAGUAACCACAUGAAAAAUUAAUCAAUUUCUCAUAAUAUUACAAAGUGAUAUAAUUUUAAUCAUUCAUAAAUUUCAUUGUUUGCUCAAUUUCCAGCAAGCUAUUUUUCUGCGUCACAGUUGCUAAUUUAUUUUUAUCUGGAGCUACAGAGCUUCAAAUUGAGUUCCGUAAAUUUUAUCCGAAAUUAGACUCAUAUACCUUUCUACCAUAAAAUUUUCAGAAUUUUUUGUUUUUCCAAUUAGUACAGUUUAUUCUUCAAAUCUUCCCCUAUUUCACUGCUCGAUAGUUCUGACCACCCUUUACUAAAAUCUAUUUAACUCUCUGUAAAAAAUUAAUAUAAGGUUCUUGUUUAUUUGUACAGAAAAUAGACUUAAUGAGGAAUUUAAUCAUAUAAAUUUAAACCCACAAUUAUUUUUGUACAAUUUUUGGUGAUUUUCCAAAGUUGAAACAGGGGAUCUCGAAAUCAAUUCAGCCCUGUCUCACUAAAAUUUAAAUAUCUCAAAAUAUAUAACUCUUUUGCUUGCUAUGAUUCUUUCAUAUGAAAAUGUACUCAUUCAGCUUCAAUGUCAUAUAUUACCCAACCUCUAAUUCAAAUUCCACCAUUUAUGGUGAAUUUUCCAAGUUACCCAACUGCUGUUGUUUUAAACUGUUUGUAACCAACUUGCUCUUUUGUAGUUUUGAUACUUCCAUUCAUCUUACACAUGGGUUGAUUAAAUAUCAAACCCAAUAUUCCCCACACAAUCAUAUUUAAUUUACAUGUUCAAUCACCCUUCCAAUUUUCCUGCUGAACACUCAGAAUAUUAACCGUUAUUUGGUGGAUUCAGCACUUAGCAACCCCUUGGGGGAAUCAGCACUUAGCAACCCCCCUUUUGCACAUUAAAAAAUAUGGUGGAAUCAGCACUUAGCAACCACCAAUGAUUCGGGGAAUCAGCACUUAGCAACCCCUUAUACAAUCCGUUACGGUGGAAUCAGCACUUAGCAACCACCGAUGAUUUGGGGAAUCAACACUUAGCAACCCCCCUUUUGCACAUUCAAAAAUAUGGUGGAAUCAGCACUUAGCAACCACCGAUAAUUUGGGGAAUCAGCACUUAGCAACCCCUUGGGGGAAUCAGCACUUAGCAACCCCCUUUUAUGUUCAAUGUAUCCUGACUUAUUCCGAGUGUUCAACUGGAAACUUUGUUUUUCAACGCUUUACUACCUUCCAAUUUAACCACAUUUUAGAGUCUAUAUCGAGUAUUCAUUACAUUUUCAAUCAAAUCCCAGCAAUAUAUAUAAAAUAACAUUAAAAUAAUACAUUAAAUCACAUGCAUACUUACCUCGGAACAAAAUAUUGUGAUUUUGCGAUUUACUCAUCGACCUUUUCUUUUCCCCGUUUAAGGUGGUCUUCACGUCUUUCUUGAUCUAUAAUAGCAAAUUUAGCUUAUUCACAUUUAAUAAAACAAUCCUCGACUCAAAUUUUGCAAAAAUUACGAUUUUGUCCCUAAACUUUUGCAUAUUUCCAUUUUCAUCCCUAAGCUCGAAAAUUAAAUUUUACACCUUAUUCUUAUGUUUUACAACAUGCUGAACACUUUUCCCUUCUAUGGCAACAUCAAAUUUCAUACAUCACUCUAACAUACACUUAUGAACAAUAAAUAUUUUUACCGAUUAUAUCGAUUUGCCCGGUUUUACUUAAAAUUGCUUAGCAAAAAUUGUUUAACAUAAUUUCUACCUUCAUAUUCUACCAUUAAACAGAAAAAUAAACACAUUUCACCUAUGGGUAUUUUUCCAAAUAUAAACCCUAACACGAAUUAAUGGUAAAGAACAUAAAGAACAUUAAAAACGGGGCUUGGAAUCACUUACUAUGGAGCUUGGAAGCUUAAAAACCCUAAAUAUGGCUUCCCCCCUUGCUGAUUUCGUUCACCAUGAAGAAGAUGAGCAUAUUUUGACAUCUUUUUCCCAUUUAAUUUUAUUUAAUUAUCAAAUGACUAAAAUGCCCUUACUUAAAAAAAAUCUAUUUCACUAAUUCUAUGCCCAUUUUUGUCUAUCAACUAACUAAUGGUCUAAUUACCACAUAAAUACCUCCAAUUUAAAAUUUUAUAACAAUUAGACACCUCUAAGAUGUAGAACUCAACUUUUUCACUUUUUUACAAUUUAGUCCUUUUGACUAAAUUGAGUGCCCAAACGUCGAAAUUUUCAAACGAAAUUUUUACGAAAAUUUUCCAUGAAAUUGUAGACCAUAAAAAUAUAAUAAUAAUAUUUUUCCCUUGUCGGAUUUGUGGUCUUGAAACCACUGUUCCGACUAGGCCCAAAAUCGGGCUGUUACAACCAGUGUUUAAUGGUGAAAGCUACCAUAUUUGGGUAGUAAAAAUGAAGACCUAGCUGUAAGCAUUUGACGUAUGGGAGGUUGUCAAUGCUGAUACUGAACCACCACCCUUAAGAGCUAACCUCACGGUAGCUCAAAUCAGGCAACACUCUGAUGAUAAAGCCAAGAGGUACAAGGCAAUGUCCUGCCUCAAAAAUAGUGUGUCAAACUUGAUUUUCACAAGGAUUAUGGCCUGUGAUACUCCAAAAAAGGUUUGAGACAAGCUUAAAUAAGAGUUUCAAGGCUCUAAAAAAAAGACAGUAACAACUCAUCAACUUAAGGCGGGACUUUGAAAACUUGAAGAUAAAGGAGACAAAGAUAGUUAAACAAUAUUAAUACAGGAUUAUGGCUAUUGUGAACAAUACAAGACUGCUUGGGGACCAAUUCAGUGAAAGUAGAAUAGUGGAAAAGGUUACAGCAACCUUACUUGAAAGAUAUGAAGCCAAGAUCUCUUCCCUAGAAGACUUAAGAGAUUUUUCAACAAUCUCUUUAACUGAGCUAAUCAAUGCUUUUUAUGCUUAGGAACAAUAAGAGCUAGCAAACAGUAGGAGCAUUAUGAAGGUGCGUUUCAAGCCAAUAGCAGACCAACCUCAAGCUCCCUCAAUUACAAAGGGAAGAAGAGCUAGUUAGACAAGUCUAAAAGAGAUGGAGGAAGGAGAAAAUAUCCACUAUGCUCUCAUUGUAAAAAGGACUAGUCGUCUAAAAGCUUACUGUUGGUACAAGCCUAAUGUGUAAUGCAAGGUUUGUAAGCAGUUAAGCCAUGUUGAAAAUGUCUACAAGAAUAGGGGCCAACAAAAACAACAGUAAUCAAAGUAGUCUAACACUCCAGCUCAAGUAGCUGAGGAAAGCCAUGCUCAGGAGGAGCAAGUGCUUGUUGUUUCUUGUUCAGCAAUAAAAAAAACACAAAAAGAUGGUUGAUUGACAGUGGUUGUACCAACCACAUGACUCCUGAUGCUACUAUUUCAAGUGGAUAGACAGAAAAUUCAACUCAAACGUAAAGGUUGGCAAUGGAUAGUACAUCAAAGUAGAAUGAAAGGGAGAUGUGUUGAUUGACACUCCUUCAGGUACCAAACUUGUUUUAAAUGUCCUUUUAAUACUUGAAAUUGAUAGAAAGAUGCUAAGUAUUGCACAAUUUCUUGAAAAAAAAAGGUAUUAUGUUGUGUUCAAAGGUAAGGAAUGCUUGAUUAGUGAUCCAAGUGUAUCUAAGCUUAUGAUAGUAGCCAUGACAUGAUAUAAGCUUUAUGGUCAACUGGAAUAAGGAGAUUGUUAGUGCCUAUACAACUGCCUUAGAUAAGUCCAAGUUGUGGCAUAUAAGGAUGGGUCAUGUCAAGUAUAGAUCACUACUUCAGUUAUCUAAGGGAGAUUUAGUUGAAAACUUUAAAAAAAUAGUUGAACAACAAGGUGUUUGUGGACAAAAAUAGAUCACUACUUCAGUUAUCUAGGCUCCCAUUUCCAGCAAACAAGGCUUGGACGACCUCGAAAAAAUUAUAGUUGGUUCAUACUAAUGUAUGUGGACCUAUAAAGUCUCAAUCUUUGAAUGGCAACAGGUACUUCAUUCUUUUCAUCGAUGACCAUUCUAGAUUCUACUGGGUUUAUUUUCUCAAGCUCAAGUCAGAAGUUGCCUCAGUAUGUAACAUCCCUAACCCGUAUCUAUUGCCAGAAUAGGGUUAUAGAGCAUUAUCGGAGUUUACAAAUUAAUUUACAGACAUUUCAUUUCAUCAAGCAUUCAUAUUUAAAACCAAUUAAAAUCAAAACAUUAAUGAGCUAACGUUGGUCAAUUUAACUUAUACAUGCCAUUAUAACCAGAAUCAAAACAUCCAAAAUUACCGAUAGAAUUAUUGGAUAGUGUGAUAAACAUUCAUACAUCCAUUCAAUGCAUUAUUCCCCUAACAUACACAAACUUAACAUUCAAGUUAGUCCAAUAAUUUUCAUGUAUCAAUAAUAUAUACCAUGAUUGAUGACCUCAUCAAUACCAUGAUUUCCAUUCCCUUAUUAUUUUUCCAUAUUUAUCCCGUUGAAUUUCUAGGAAUUUCGAUGGAUUUUCAGGGGUACACUUUAAUGUACAAAUUCGGGUCCGUCAAUUCAUAUUCAUGUGCCCACAUUUCCAUUUCAGAAAGCACACUCCCGCGAACCUCAUCCUUACAGCGGGAUUACCAGUCCAGGCUAAAUCCCCUAUAAUAUAAACUCAUAGAGUAUUGUCGGGAUUACCAGUUCAGGCUAAAUCCCCUACAAUGACAAUUACUCUAAUGAGCUUGGAUCUAAAUUACCAGUCCAGGCUAAAUUCAGACCCUAAUUCGAAUUAUACGUCCGAGCUAAAUCCAUUUUCCACAUAUUCUUCGGGAGGACUAUAUCAGGAUAGGAUCACCCGUCCGGGCUAGAUCCCUUUUACCGUCAAUUCUUUUUCGGAGAUUCAUCGAAUUUUCCUUCCAUUCAACUGGGAUUUCUUCCCUUUUUUAUCAAAUAUAUCAAUGUUUCAUCAAUUUUCAUACAAUGAACAUUCAAUAUUCACAUCAAUAACAUACAUUUCAAGCAUUUAAGAAUAUAAUUCAAGUUACACGAACUUACCAAACUAAAUUGCAGAAAUACCAAAAUUCAGGGACAUUUUGGUAAUUUUUUAUUUUCCUCGAAUUUCCACCCAAUCUUGAUCUAAAUUAAUAUUUCAUUCAAUUUAUUAAUUUAAAUAAUAAAAAAAUUCAUUUCAUGCAAUGUGGUCACUUUUUGACAUUUUUACAAAAUUACCCUUAAAAUUUUACUUUUAUUCAAUUUAGUCAUUGAACCUAAAACAUGCAAAUUAGCCAUUUUUAAUGAAAACUCAUGCUAGUUGAAUAAGCAUAUAUUUUCCUCCUCCUCUCCAUUCCACAUAAUUAAUGUAGAUAACAUGCUUAUAUGUAACAUUAUCUAUAAUUUCACCAUUUAUUUAUAUAUUCAUUCAAAGCUGUCCACUUGAGUCAUAGUCACUAAAUUAUUUAUAUCUUGAGCUACGCAACUCUGAAUUAAGAUCCGCUAAAUUCUUAUGAAACUAGACUCACAUGUCUUCUUGCCAUCAAAAUUUUCAAAUUUUAUGGUUUAGCCAAUACGUACAGUUUAUUCUUUAAAGUCAUCCAUGUUCUACUAUCUAACAAUUUCGACCAUUCUUCACUAAAAAUUAAUUAUCUCCUCGUACGGGACUAGGAUGAUCUUGUUUGUUUCUAUUGAAAAUAGACUCAUUAAUAAUUUUAAACAUAUAAAUUAUAACCCACAAUUAUUUUUAUACAAUUUUUAAUGAUUUUCCAAAUUCAGAACAGGGGAACCCAAAUUCAUUCUGACCUUGUCUCACAAAAUUUAUUAUAUCUCAUGAUUUACAAUUCCAUUACUUACACCGUUUCUUCUAUGAGAAAGUAGACUCAAUAAUAUUUAAUUACAUAUUUUUUCAUCCUCUAAUUUAAUUUCUACUAUUUUUGGUAAAUUUUCAAAGUCAAACUAUUGCUGUUGUCUCAAAACUAUUUUAGUGUAAAAUGUUGAUAACUAAAUUUAUAACACCUUCCUUUCCUUUCUCUUCAAUAUUUUCCAUCACUUUCUCUUAUUUCCCUUUACUAACAUAACAAGAAUACAGAACCUUAUACAAUGAAACUAGAGGUGCUCAUAGGCCGAGCGGCCCGGCCCGGCCCGAAGGCUCGCCCGAAAUAUGGGAGGGUUCGGGUAAAAAUAUAGGCCCGAAAUAUGGGUUUGGGCAAAAAAUGAGGCCCGUUUAGAAAAUGGGCCGGGCCUCGAGCACCACUUUUUUGGCUCAGGCCCGGCCCCCGAAUAUAUAAUAAAUAUUUAUUUUUUAUUUUUAAAAUAUAUUUAAAAUACGUUUUCCUCUCUUCUCACGUUGGUUGCAUGGAAAAGAUGAUGAUUUUUUUUCAUCUUUCCUCCCUUUUAUAUUAAUCAUUUAAUAAUAAAAUAAUACGAAAAAUCUUAAUAAAAUAUUAAUUAAAAAUAUUUAUCUAAAUUAAUUAAUUAAAAAUAUCACCAACAUCAUCAUCACCUUCUAGAAUUCUCUCUCUGUAAUUUACCAUUUUGUCCUUUAUAAUCUUUUGAAAUUCCAUCCUUGAGUCAUCACUUAAUUUGCUAAAAUUACAAUUUAGUCCCUCAAAAUUCUUCACCUUUUCAAUUUGGUCCUAAUUCAUCCAUUUUCCUUAGUUUCUAGAUUAUUCCACCCUUAAAAUAUUUACACUAUUGGUCCUUUAACUUUUUUGUAUUUACACUUUAACCCCCUAAAUUUUGAGUAUUUACUCUUGAGUAACAAAACUUUUCUCACUUUUGCAAUUUAAUCCUUUCUUGAAUUAAUAUGUCAUAAUAUACUUCCCAAUGUCGACAUAACUCAAAAUCACCCUUUUAUCACUUUAUUUUCUUAUUUUACUAUAUCAGGAACAUUAUCUUACUUUCUUACUGUAGUAAUUUUUGGGGUAUUACACAGUAUUUUGGAAGUUCAAAGUUGCAAUUGAGACUCAAUCAGGUUGCAAGCUUAGAAUUAUAAGGUGGAUAUAAUACACCUUUAAUCAGUCGCAAAGGUUUUUUGAAGAGUCAAGAGUUGAACACUAGCUCACCAACACCUACACACCUCAUAAAAACAGUGUUAAUGAAAGGAAGAAUCGAACCCUGAUAGAUAUGGCCAGAUGUCUGAUAUUUGAAAGAUGUUUGUCAAAAAGUUUUUAGGCUGAGGCAGUGGAUACUAUAGUUUAUCUUCAAAACAGGCUACCAACCAAAACCCUAUUGGAGAAAACUCUAUUUGAAGUCUGGUUUGGAUUCAAACCAUCAAUGGCACAUUUGAGAGUCUUUAGUUGCAUCUAUUAUGCACAUUUUCCUACUGUCAAAAAGGAAAAAUUAGAAAAGAAGGCUCAACUUAGCAUCUUUGUGGGCUAUAGUAGUGUUAAAAAGGGUUAUAGAAUCCUCGAUCCUACAACUUACAAAGUUUUUGUAAGCAUAGAUGUAGUUUUUGAUGAGAAGCCAACAUGGAUCUCAGACAAGGAUGAGCCAGAAAGUGUUGCUGAAGACUUGGUGACAAGGCCAAAUGAAGGUGAUCAGAUUGAGCAAAAGAUGAAUUUUAAACAUGAGUUUGUUAGAGGAACCAAACUGAUCAGUGAAGUGUAUGAGAGGGUUGACAUAGCUGCUGUUGAGCCAGUUGAUUUUGAAUAAGCAGAAACACAAGAAAGCUGGAGGCAAGCAAUGUUGAAUGAAAUAAGCAUGAUCCACAAGAAUCGGACUUGGGAACUAGUUGAAACACCAGUCCACAAGAAAGUCAUAAUAGUGAAAUGGGUGUUUAGAGCCAAACAAAAUGCUGAUGGAAGUUUGAACAAGCUCAAGGCAGUGUUAGUUGUGAAGGGUUUCAAGCAACAGCAUGGUGUUGACUACUUUAAAACAUUUGCACCAGUGGCAAUACUAGACACUAUUAGACUUCUGCUUGCAUUGGUAGCUUAAAGGCAGUGGAAGUAGGGGGGAGCAUUCGAUCGAAUCGAAUCGAAUCGAAUCGAAAAUUUUCGAGUUAAUCGAGUUUUCGAAUCUCAUUUUAUCAUCCUAACUUUAUUUGAAGUUUUCUCGAAUCGAGUCGAGUGAGAUGGAAUUCGAAUCGAAUCGAAUCGAAUAUAUUUGUUCGAGUUAAAUUUUAAAAAAUAAUUUUAGGUCCUUGUAACCAUUGUCACCCAUCAUAAUAAAAUUUGUCCACCUUAAUCAAAUUUUUUAUUAACUUUCAUCACCUCAUAAUUUAUUUAUUAAUUUUUUAUAUACUGGUUAGCUUAUUUGUUUGCUUAGUUGUUUCAAUUAUCUUCGGAUUCUUGUCACUAUGUAUUUUGGAAUUAAAAAUAUAUUAAAUAUAAAAAUAUGAUUUUUUAAUAAAAUUUAUUUUAAAAAUAAAAUUUGAAAUUGAUACCAAUAUAAAAUUUUAACACGAAUAUUUUAUGGCAUAAUUAAGAAUUCAAUUUUAAUAUAAAUAUUCAAUAUGACUAAACAAUUCAAUAAUAUAAAUAAUAUAAAAUGUGAAAUUUAAUUUAAUAAUAUAAAUAGUAUAUAUAAAUAAAAUUAUUACUAUUUAUGUUUAGUGAUUUUUUUUGGAUAAUUUUGAUUUUUUAUUUGAGAGUAAAGGGUGAGAAGUAAAAGUUUAGGGGGAAAAUAAAAAAUUUUGGGGAAUAAAAGUUUGAGGGAAAGUAAAUAGGGGGAGUAAAAUUUUGGAGGGAAAAUAUUAAAAAAAAUUGGAGGGGGGAGGGUUUGGGGUAGAUGGGAGGUGGGAUGGGAAGAGAAUAAAAGUUUUAGGGGAAAAGUGGGAGGGAGUAAAAAUUUUGGGGGAAAAUAAAAAGUUUUAAAGGUUUUUGAGAGUAAAAUUUUGAAAAGAAAUGAAUGGAAGAGUAAAAUUUUGGUGGGAAAUGUAUUUUGAGUAGAUUGGGGGUUGGGAGGGGAGGGGAGUAAAAGUUUUGGGGGAAAAGUGGGAAGGAGUAAAAGUUUUGAGGGAAAAGUAAAAAAGUUUGAGAGUUUAGGGUAAAACUGUAAAAUAUUAUAGUUUGAUAUUCGAAUUAUUCGAAUUAUUCGAAUUAUUCGAAUUAUUCGAGUUAUUCGAAUUCGAAAACUCAACUCGAUUCGAACUCGAAAUUCGAAAAAAAAAUUCGAGUUGAUUCGAAUAACUCGAUUAACUCGAAUAACUCGAUUCGUUUAACUCGAAAUUCGAAUUUUUUUUUGAUUUUUUCGAGUCGAAUCGAAUUUUGCUCACCCCUAAGUGGAAGAUACAUCAACCUGAUGUAAAAUUUGCCUUCCUCAAUGGAUUCCCCAGUGAAGAAAUAUAUGUUGAAUAGCCUGAUGGUUUCAAAAUGGCGAGUGAAAAAAGAAAGGUGUACAAGCUAAGAAAGGCAUUGUAUGGCUUAAAACAAGCACCAAGGGCUUGGUAUAACAAAAUUAAUAGCUACUUGUCAAGCUUGGGAUUUGAAAGAAGCAAUAGUGAGCCAAUAUUGUAUGUGAAGAAAAAAGGUAAUGAAACACAACUGAUAGUCUUGUUAUAUGUGGAUGAUUUGUUAGUACUUGUGGGAAUCAUGAUAUACUAGCAGAAUUCAAGAGCAAAAUGGAAAGUGUCUUUGAAAUGUCUGAUUUGGGAGAAAUGUCUUAUUUUCUUGGGUAUCUCAAACUCGGCAGGGCAUCUUUAUAAGUCAAAAGGCUUUUGCUUUGAAGAUUUUAAACAAAUUUUGCAUGCAAAACUGCAAAGCUGUUAGUACUCCAGUUGCAAUUGGUGAAAAACUCACUAGUCAAGGUGUAUUUGGAAGGGUAAAUGAAUCAAGUUAUAGAACCCUAGUGGGAUGCUUACUCUACUUGACAGCCUCAAGGCCUAAUAUUGUGUUUGCAGUCAGUCUCUUAUCUAAAUUCAUACGGUAUUGUAAUGUGAGCCACUUUCAAUUAGCAAAAACAGUUAUGAGGUACAUCAAAGGGACUUUGAGCUAUGGAUGACAUUAGCUCAUUAGGAUGACAUUUGAGCAAAAGGUCAUUGUUAUCAUCAUCCAUGCGACCGAUGGGAUUCAUUAUUGUUGGGAUGAUAGCCUUGAGCCAUGUGGUGCCUGUUUUCAUAGAAGAAGUCAAAAAUACAUCGGAGUCAUUUGCUUGGAAGUUCAACCUGGCAGCCAUGGCAGCAGGAAGGUAAGAAUUGGUAUACCAGAAGCCUUCCCUGUUGUAAAGAUCUGAACAACACCAUGUUUCUUUUGGGAGUUCACCGAACAAAGUAGAAAAUGCAGAUGGAAAGCUAGAGUACUUCAUCGAAAGAUCUUCCCAAAAUAUAACACCUGGUAGAUAUAGGAACUAAACCAAGUACAAGAAAUAUAACAGCACUCCAAGAGUUAAUCUCAAGCAAAAUAUAUAUUGAGAAAAAAAGGAUAAACGUAGGCAGCCCUAAGAUCAGAGAAAGUCAAUAGAAAAGUAGUAUUUAUAUGAAAACCAUUGGGACAUUUACCUCCCUUGGUUCAUACAAUAAUUAUCUUUAAGUAUAGCCUUUUAUAAUAAAACAUAAUUGCAAAUAAAAUUAACAGAACAGCACUUUGCUUACAGCUAAAUAAAAGCUCAAGCCAAAACAAGUUAGCAUUAAUAGAUUAUGAACAUAGCAAUGGUAGUCCCCAGCUACACAAAGAAAAGGCACUUUAAUAAUAGAUUCGUCCAUUCCUAUAUCUCAGUUGCAAACCUAUGGCCAAACCUCAGUAUCUCUAAAGACAAAUAUGUGGGAUAUGUAUUGUCAUAUUUGUGUCUGAAUAUGCACCAAACAUAUGUUUUAGACUGAUAUAUUUCAAGAAAAAGGAAAGAGUAUGAGAAACAUAACUUAUGCAUCACUGAAGAAGCAACAAAAUUAUUGUCUAUAUCUAAAGAUGAGCAAAACUCAAUUCGAUACGAAAAAAUCGAAAACUUUUUUGAAUUUCGAGUUAAUUGAAUCGAGUUAUUUGAGUCAACUGAAUAAAUAAUUCGAGUUUUGAGUUCAAGUUGAGUUAACUUUUACAAUUGGAAUAACAGAUUCGUAUAAAUAUCCUUCCGAUCCUUGUCAAUUUUGAAAAUGAACAAAUUGAUCUAUCUCCCAACAAAAAAUACAAAAUAAUUAAAAUAAUUUUCAAAAAUUCAAAAAUAUUUAUAAAAAUUCCAAAAUAUAAAGAAUAUAUAAAUAAAGAAAGUUAAAUUUUAAAUUUUUUUCUAAAAUAAUAAUUUUGGGACCUAAAUAAGUUAAUUAAUUAUUCAAGUUUAUAGUACUAAAGUAUCUCAUUAUUUUAUUAAUUUUUGUUAUAUAUGCAAAAGUUUUCAAAGAUAUAUGAUUUCAAAUUUACAUAGUCUAAUAUGGAACUAGUUAUACCAUAAUAAGAUAUUAAUUUGAGAUAUUUAAUGUUUUUUAAAUUUAACUCAAAUAAUUUAACUCGAUUCAACUCAACUCGAUUAAAAAAAUUUCUGAUCGAGUUAGGAUGAUAAAAUAGGACUCGUCAACUCAAUUAACUUAAAAUCUUUUAACUCGAUUAAUUUGAAAUUUUUUUACUUAAUUUGAUCGAACGCCCACCCCUAUUUAUCUGAGUUCAACUUGUACAUGCCAGCCUGCAUAUUUACAAAAUAAAUAGAACAUACUGAUAGCCAAAUACAGUAGUACUAAUAUUCACUUAAGUAAACAUAUCAUUGAAAAUAUACGUGGCUCAAGCUACGAACAUUAGGUUAAAGUACAGAAGUUACUGAAGCCAAAUACAAAUAGUUGCAGACGUUUAGGUGAAAAGAUUACCACAUCUUUAGGGUAACUUUUCAUUUGAAGUUCAAAAAAGUAGCUGGAAAAGUUGGACAAAAGGUGAACCCUAAGUGUUGCUAAUAAGUAGGAAAAAAACAUAUAUAAAGCAUGCUCUAAAGUUUGAUUCCUAAUCUACUUUCAACCUCAUUUCUAGAAUGAUUCAAAGUUAAUUUUUAGGGGUUACUUUUCAUUUGAAGUUCAAAAAAAUAGCUGGAAAAGUUUGAGAAAUGGUUAAACCAACUUUAGAAGUAGGGUAGAGAGAAAUUUAAAAUGUUGCGAGAGAUGUCUAAACGAAAUUAGCUUUAAAAUUGCUUUGUUAUCCACUUUUUCAAUUAACUUGCUUUUGCAAUUUUUUUUAUGUUUUAUUCACACAACCUAUAUUAUGAUGAAUAAAAGAGUUAUUAGUAAAUGAAUCUCAAAGAUAAAUAAAAUCUAAUGAUUGUCUACGUUUUAUACUGAUGAAAACAGUUCACUGAGCAUUAAGCAAAACAUAAAAAGGAUAUCAAUUUUUUUAUUAAACAAUUUAGAAAUAUAAAAGAUGGUGGGAAAAUAGAAAAAUACUUUGUUUCUAUAUUUUUGGGUAUGUCAUACAAAUGAAAAUUCACUCCUAUAUAUAGGAGGUCUUAUGUCUCUUUAUAGGGAUAUAACUACCCAAAUAGAUAAUCAUAUCUUUAGCAAUAAACAUAAUUAUUCAAUAGAUAUCUACUCAGAAUAAUCUUGACUAUUUGUUAAUAAUUAAAUGAUAUUAUUUUUGAAUUUAAGAGACAUAAUUCAUCACUAUAAAUAGUGACAACUUUUGAUUAAUAACUAGGUGAAAUUAUUUUUGAUUACUUAUAACUUUUCAUUUCAUUUGCAACUAUUGAAGCACUAUAUAUAUUUUAACAUAUAUUACACAUAAUGCUAUCAUUAUUAUAUGCUUUCAUCAUGAUUGUUUACAUGACAAAAUUUAUAAUUAAAUAGUAAUUGGGAAGUUCUUAUGGAUCGAUGCGGUACCGGAUGAAACAAGAUCAUUGUUCUUCAAGAGACUGUAAAGUUCAAUAAACAUGUCAGCAGAUGGAUGCACUCUACUUUAGCAUAUAAUAGUAAAAAGAAGAUAAAUAUUAUCUUAUUUUCCUCAGCUUAGGAAAAUUAUAAAUUAUAAUCAAGGAAAAGAAAAGUGUCUUACAAAUCAUGAAUAGCUGCUAUCUCUAAAAAUCAUCCAUUACAAAGCAGUCUCCCAUGCCCGUCAGUAAACUGGGUUUCUACCUCUAGCUGAUGCCUUUAGCAGGUGUCCGUCUCCGAGCAUGAGCCUCCAUUAGGUGCAUUAUUUGGAGGUCCAUAUGGCAUGAACCACUUAACUGGUCAUAUUUCCCCCUUCAGGGACGGCACAAAGGGAUGGCAGGGGCUUUGGCCCCUAAUUUGAUAUAAUUAUCACUUUAGAUCUUUAAACUUUAGUACUCCCAAAUUUUUUUAAUUUAAUUUCGAUCUGUUAUAAAUUUUUUAGCUUCACCUUACCUAUCUCACUAGAGAAUUUGGUAGGACCUGCAUCACUAGAUCUCUCUUGCAGCAAGCUUGUUGGAAUUGAUUGAUCUAAAUUUUUUCGAAAUGUUAAGUCUUUUUGAGAAUUAACUUGUUGAAGUCAUUCCUUAGGAAAAACAAUUCAAUACAUUUUUCAACGAUAUUUAUGUUGAUAAUAUAGAAAUACGUGAAUUUUCCGUUUCAAAAAUUAUCAAAUUUCAGUUAACAAUAUUGGAUUGGAUUAAAAAAUUAUAAUGAUGAGUUAUGCACGUGGAUUGGCGUUUGGAACUUUUUUUUUUUAUAAGAUAUAUGAUGAUGAAAAUUCGAAAACCAAAAUGGUCCGUUGCUAAACGGCUCAUUGCUAGCUUGACUAACUUCACUCUGAAUUUUUCUUUUGGUCUAAAUAGAGAGUAGAUUUGAAGUUUUUGUUGCGUUUAGGUAGUACACAUGAAAAUAAGUUUUUGAAGUUAGGCUUGAAACUUUAAUAGCCAACUUCUAAUUUUAUUAUAGGCAAACGUAACGUGUAGGUUUUCGUUUAAAUUAUUUUAGUUUAAUUUUCAUUAUGUUUGUUUUUUUAAAAUUUAUUUUAGUAUAAGUUUAAAUAUAUUUUAAUUUUUAGUUUGUUGUGCUUUUAUAUUGAGUUGGUUUUAAAUAUAGUUGAUUCAACAUGUAUUAUUUGAAAUUUAUAUUUAUUAUUGUACUUGAAAACACCUUAAAAAAUUAGAAAAGUAAAAGAAAUUAUAAUUAUGAAAUGUAAAAUCAAUAUCUUCAUUGAAAUUCUCAAAGCAAAAUCCAUAUUACAAAUAUGUAAUGAAUCGAAAAGAACCGAACAAAACUUAUAUACGAUAAACAUACAUGAUGUAAUUAGAGACUCGUAUAUUGCAAGUCCAACUUCAUUGGGUUUUUUUUUUGUUUCAUUUGAAUUGAUCUGUAACAUUCAAAAGUUCAAAUUUACAGCGUCCCAUGUAACAUUUUCUACAAUUGAAAACCGACAUUUGAUAUAAAAUCUAAUGCUCACCAUCAAGCUUUAAACAUGUCUCUACGAUUUAUACCUACUAUCGCCAAAGUUGAGGCCAUUUCAUUUCCUUUCUUAUCUGCCAUUGAAAAUACAACACUACCUACCUUUUCAAUUUUCCUCUCAAUAUCUGCAAAUGUUGAUUGUACUGACCAUGGUCUCAUUGACUUGUUUGCACACCAGUUGAACACCACUUUAAAUCUACAAAUAGUGAGUCAUUUAUCUUCCAUUCCAAAUAUAUAAAUACUUCCAAGGCUAAAAGCACUACUCCUGCCUCUGCCGAAUCAACAUUAUUUGCUGCAAUAGGACCUAGAAACAGAGCUCUUGCAACACCCUCCAUAUCUCUCAAAACACCUAGACAACUUGCACUAUCCUCAUUUGCUAUCCCACAUACAUUGAACUUUAAUCCUGUUUUGAUGAGUUUGAGGAUAAUACUCGUCCUUAAAACACCUAGACAACUUGCACUAUCCUCAUUUGCUAUCCCACAUACAUUGAACUUUAAUCCUGUUUUGAUAAGUUUGAGGAUAAUACUCGUCCUUAAAAUUUUUGGGAUGAAAUUCAUCCUUAAUUAUGAGAUGAUUUUCAAUAAUCGUCCCUAAAAUUUUUUAGAGACAUGGUUUUAAAAAACGCAUAUUGAGGACGAUUUAAGUCAUCUCUAAAAUUAUUGAACACAUUUUUCAAACUUUUAGAAACGUUUUAAUCGUACCCAAAGUUUCUAGAUUUUGUAGUGUUAUGGGAGAAGAAUAAUUAUGAGAGUUCCUUGUGUGCAUCUAUAUGGAAUGUUAGAAAAUUAAUUCGUGUAUUCGUUCUUUGAUCCAUAAUUGAUUAAUAGACCAAACUACUUAAUGUGUUAAUGUGUUGAUGUAAUAAUGUCAUUGGAUUGCAAUAUUAUAGCCAUCCACAAAUUUGGAAUAAUGCAUUUCAUAUAUCUCCACUCUUAAUAUUAUAUAAAAAUAAUAAUUUUGUUGUUAAUUAUGUGAUUUGUUAGUAAGAAAUGGAUUUGUCUUUGAAAGAAAGAUAAUGAUCAUGAAAAAUUCGAGUUUUCAAUCAAAGAUGAGGGCAUUGCUGUGGAUAAGGUUUGUCUAUGAUGAUUUAUUGAUGCAGGAGAGCUUUUGGUGGAUUUAUUUAAACAGGUGCAAAAUAAGCACAAUUAAAUCCUAAUCAUCCUCAUCGAUAUGACACCCUCCUCAGCAAGGAUGUUUAAAGUUCAAUGUAUGUAGAAUAGCAAAUGAGAAUAGUGCAAGUCGUGUAGGUGUUUUGAGAGAUAUGGAGGGUGUUGCAAGAGCUUUAUUUUCAGGUCCUAUUGUAGCAAAUGAUGCUGAUUCUGCAAAGGCAAGAGCAGUGCUUUUAGCAUUGGAAGUAUUUAUAUAUUUGGAAUGAAAGAUAGAUAACUCACUGUAUGUAGAAAUUGGUUCUAAAGUGGUGUUCAAUUGGUGUUCAACUGGUGUACAAACAAGUCGAUGAGACCAUGGUCACUACCGUCAACAUUUACAGAUAUUGAGAGGAAAAUUGAGAAGGUAGGUAGUGUUGUAUUUUCGAUGGCAAAAGAUAAAGGAAAUGAAAUGGCCUCAACCUUGGCGAUAGCAGGUAUAAAUCAUGGAGACAUGUUUAAAGCUUGAUGGUGAAUAUUAGAUUUAAUCUCAAACGUCAAUUUUUAAUUAUAAAAAAUGUUACAUUAUGGGAUGCCGUAAAUUGAACUUUUGAAUACUGUUCUUGUUAUAUUUUCAACAUAUGAGUUCAAAUGAAGAAAAAUAAAUAAAUAAAUCCAGAAAAACCUCAAACAUUGAAAAGAAAAAUGAAACGAUAUAGCUUAAUUUUUAACUAUAGACCCAACCCAAGAUGCGAACACUUUUUUUUUUCCUUUCUCGAAAAUUGAAGUAAACAAACCUUAAAUGGUGGUGUCUGAUAAAAUUAAAAUUAUGAGUUUUUAUAUUACUGUUUGAGCAGGAGACUUUGUCCAUUUUCCAUCCUAUUCUGCUAGCAAUAUAUGGCUCAAAAUAGGAGGGGAAAAAUUGGAAAAACUACUUUUCUUGAUAGCUUAGCUAUAUAUUUCAGAUUUAAAAAAUACCUUUUUAUUUCAAAAGUAAAUUAUUUCUCUCAAAUAAAAUUGGAUUAACUGAAUCUCUAUUAAUUUUUAAAAUGAGCAACUAAGAAUAAUUAAUAAUGAUGUUAAUGUUUUUCGUCAAUUAUACAUUAUUUUGAUUAGUAUAAUAAUAAAUUUAGCCCUUGAUGUUUAUACGUGUUAUAUAAAUGUUGACAAAAUAUGUAAAUAUUCGAGCUAAAUUAUUAAAUCAAGACUGAAUUGAUAAUAUAUAUAAAUAAUAUUUGCUAAAUUAUUAAAUCAAGACCAAAUUAACAUAAUGUGUAAACUUUAAAAACUAAAAUUAUUAUAAUAUCAAUAAAAAUAUAUAAUUGAUGAUUAAUUAUCUUGCUCAUUUUCUAAAUUAACAGGAAUUAGACUAAUCUAAUAAAAAUAAAAAUUUACUCAGUAUCAAAAUUUUAAAAAUAAAAUCAUUGACACCAUGCUAGUCCCCAUAAAGCAAAGUCCUAAUCAAAAUUUCAACAUUGCUUGACCCUUAAAUAAAUACCUUAACAAAAUUUCUACAAUGUUAGGUUUCUUGUCAUGUCGGACUAAGAUUUUCUUUUCCCUAAUUCUAGGCCCCCGUCCCCACACAUUUAGACCUAAAAAUAUUUUCUACAAAGCCAAACCCCAGAGACCAAGUCCGAAUAAAAUUUCACAAUGCUAGGCCCCAUAUAACAUGAUCUAAUAAAAAUUUCCACACCAAUCUUUACGCAUACCUAAUAACGCAUUGAUUGCUACUUAUUAUAUAUAGCUAUGUAAAACUCUUUAAUCGAUAAUUUCGUGUUCAAUUUACAUAUACUAACAAUAUUUUAUGAUCCAAAUGUUGUAUUAAUAAAAGUUUCAAUUUUUUAUGAUUUAGAAUAACGUGUAUUAGUGCAUUAUGUUGACAUAUAAAAUUUGUUUUUUUUCUUAAUUUAACAUAUAAAUGCAAUGGUUUGAAAUGUGAACAUGAUUGCGUUGUUUGCUUGAAAUCUUAUAUAAACAUACGCUAUCCACUCCACUCUUGUUCUAUAUCAACCUUCCCAUUAUCAUCUCUAAGAGAAACCAUGAAAAGGUGGUUAAUACCAUCGUAUUUUGUGAUCUUUUCCCUCUUCUUUACCUAUAAUUCUUCUGCUCUAACAUUACCGUUUUGCCCUCAUGACCAAAGUGCUGCCUUAAUCCAAUUCAACAGCUCCUUUUCCAUUGAUUGUUCCGGUUUUAGGCAACCAUCUAUAUCCAGGGCUAAGACAAUCUCCUGGGAGGAAGGAACAAACUGUUGCUUGUGGGAUGGGGUUAAGUGUGAUACUGAAACAGGGAAUGUGAUUGCCCUUGAUCUUAGUUUCAGCUGCCUUUUUGGCCCUUUCCCCUCUAACAACACCCUCUUCCUACUCCGCCAUCUCCGUCAGCUUAACCUUGCCGGGAAUGAUUUCAGAUUCUCCCCAAUGGCAUCCCAGUUUGGUCAAUUGACUAGUUUGACCCAUCUAAACAUCUCCUGGUCCAGCUUUAUUGGUAAAGUUCCACCUGAAAUCUCUCGCCUUUCUAAACUAUUAUCCCUUGAUUUAUCCAUGUCUGGUUUGAUGUUUGAAGGGCAUGUCUUUGAAAAUAUGGUCGCAAACUUGACACAACUAAGACACCUUCUCCUCUCAGAAGUCAAUAUGUCUCAAGUUGUUCCUACUUCUUUCCUUAACAUGUCUUCUUACAUACAAACUCUUGUCCUCGAGAAUAAUUACGAACUGCACGGAAAGUUCCCUGAAGAUGUUUUCCGCUUUCCUUACUUACAAAAGUUCCGUGUUUCUAGUAAUUUUCUUGAACUCAAGUUCCCAAAGACUAAUUGGAGUGCUCCCCUCAAGUCACUGCAAGUAACGUUGUCAUAUUUGGAGGAACUGCCUGAUUCAAUUGGUGACCUUACAUCUCUGGAGAUAUUGGAUCUUCCUGUUAAUCAUUUAGGAGGGCCAAUUCCAGCAUCUCUUGGCAACCUCACACAACUAAAGUAUUUAGAUCUUUCCGAUAAUAACCUUAGUGGUGUUUUGCCAGUUUCUGCUUUUAACCUUAGACAAGUUCAAUUUGUAGAUUUUUCAGGAAACAAGUUGGCUGGUUCCUUUCCUUCUCAAGUAAGUGACCUUUCACAACUUAGUAUUCUAGACCUUGAUCGCAACUUUCUCAGUGGCAGGGUACCGUCCUGGUUGUUUUCUCUUCCAUCUUUAGUUUUGUUGAGGCUCAGUAAUAACAAGCUUACUGGUCCAAUUGACCAAUUUGACAAGGUUACUCCAUUGGAGGAGGCUUAUUUGCAGAACAAUGAGAUAGAGGGUCCAGUUCCUGGUUCUAUUGCCCUACUUGUGAACCUUAUUUAUCUUGAUCUUUCCUCCAAUAAGUUGAGUGGGAAUUUUGAGUUGGACAAACUAUCAAAGCUCAAAAAACUUGAGUCUCUUACUCUCUCAAAUAACGCUUUGCUAUCAUUUACCAGUGAAAGCAAGGCCAAUUACUCCUUGCCUAAUCUUUUGUCACUAAACCUCUCUUCUUGUGACGUCAUUGAUUUUCCAGAUUUUGUAAGGAAUCUAGAAGGUUUGAGAGAGUUAGACCUUUCGAACAAUCGAAUCCAUGUCAUUGAAGCAAAUAUGUUUGUGAAGCUUAAAGAACUUCAACGACUGGAUCUGUCACACAACAGCCUGCUAUCCCUGAGCAACAAUGGCAACCUUAGUCUUUUCUUGCCAAAUCUUGGUUACUUGUCAUUGGCAUCAUGUAAUCUAACUGUAUUUGCAAAUUUCUUGACAAUACAAGAGAGUUUGCGAGAGUUAUACCUUUCGAACAACAGCAUUCAAGGCCAAAUUACCAAACAAGAAAGAACUUGGGGAAGCAACCUAGUGAUUCUUGAUCUUUCUAACAAUUUGUUGACAGUUGUAGAAUAUUAUCCAUGGAGGAAUAUAAAAGUUCUUAGGCUUGACUCCAAUCUGCUAGAAGGGCCACUUCUAGUACCACCGCCUUCCACAUCUGUUUUCUCCAUCUCAAACAACAAAUUGACGGGUGAAGUUCCAUAUUCGAUUUGCGAAUUCGGCACAGAAAUUGAUGCAGCUCUCGACUUGUCUCAUAACAACUUGAGUGGAGUAAUUCCAAAAUGUGCAGGCUUGGCAAAUAUUGCUUACCUGGAUUUGCAUGCGAAUAAUUUUCAUGGAAACAUCCCUGAUUUUUGUGUUAAUGAAAACAAUAUGUUAAGUACACUUAAUCUCAACGACAAUGAUUUUGAUGGGCCAUUACCUAAAUCCUUGGCCAACUGUCUUCUUUUGGAAGUGUUGAUUCUUGGAAACAACAAGAUAAAUGACACAUUUCCCUAUUCGUUGGGAAAUCUUCCUUCGCUUCAAGUGCUUGUCUUGCGCUCCAACAAUUUCCAUGGUCAAGUAAUCAAUCCAGACAACCAAUCUUAUUUCUCAAAUCUGCGAAUCUUAGACCUCUCCCAUAAUAAUUUCUCUGGUUAUCUGCCAACAACUUUCUUCAAGAGUCUUGAAGGUAUGAUGGGUUUGGCCGAUGUUGAUAUGGCUUAUAUGGGAGAUCGUUUUCAAUAUUACACAGAUUCCAUGGUUCUCACAAUGAAAGGUGAGGACAUUGUGCUAGAGAGAAUUCUAACUAUUUUUGCAGCCAUCGAUAUGUCAAGCAACAAAUUCGAAGGAACAAUUCCAGAAACAGUUGGAAACCUUAUUUCUCUCCAGGUGCUCAACUUUUCUCACAACCACUUAACCGGUCAUAUUCCUUCCUCAUUGGGGAAUUUGGUAGCACUUGAGUCGCUAGAUCUUUCUUGCAACGAGCUUGUUGGGGAGAUUCCUUCGGAGUUGAAUGGUUUGAAUUUUCUUGAAGUGUUAAACCUGUCAGAGAACCAGCUCGUUGGGCUCAUACCUCGGGGAAAACAAUUCAACACCUUUCUCAACGAUUCCUACGCAGGCAAUAUAGGACUGUGUGGGUUUCCCGUUUCAAAAAGCUGCGGCCGUAGUGAACCACCACCAGCAAUUUUUGAUGAAGAGGAAGUUGAUUCUGCAUUUGGAUUGGAUUGGAAAUUUGUAAUGAUGGGUUAUGGGUGUGGAUUGGUUUUUGGAUUUUCAGCUGGUUACAUCAUGAUGACAAUUCGGAAACCAAAAUGGCUUGUUGGGAUGAUUCAACGCGCAGGCAACAGAGUUCUUAGGAGAUUCAAGAAAUAUCGUUGAGGAAGAUAGAAUUUGUGAAGACAGAUGUUUGCUCAUCGGUGGCUGCUUGAACACCUUUUCUGUGGAAUCUCUCUCGCCAUGAUUUUCUUUUUGUUACUGUUAUUGCUCCCAAUAUAGAGUCAUUUGUAGUUUUGUCCAUGUCUUACGUACUUCUGAGUUUUAAUAAAUUUGAUGAAAUAAUUCUUUAUCUAAAUUAAAAACAGCAUUGAAUUUUUUUUUUGCUGAAUACUUACUUGAAUUUUGAAUAAAUAAAAAUUAAAUUGAAUUUUUAGUUAAUCGAAUUGAAUUAUUUGAGUCAAUUCGAAUAAGUAAUUCGAGAUUCGAGUUGAAUUUUACAAUUCGAGUAACUCAAUGAUUCAAAUAAUAAAUUGGUGUAAAUAUCAUUUUGGUCCCUAUCAAAUUUGAAAAUGAGCAAAUUGAUCUCUCUCAACAAAAAUUAUAAAAAAGAUUAAAAAAAAUUUAGAAUUCAAAAUUUUAUAUUUUUAAAAUUUCUAAAAAAAAUUCUAAAAAUAUAUAUAAAGAAAGUUAAAUAUUUUAAAAAAAAUAGAAUAAUAAUUUUGGACUUAAAUAAGUUAAUUAAUUAUUUAAGUUUGUCAUAUUAAAGUAUUUUUUAUUAUUUUGUUUUUGAAAAAGUUUUCAAAUAUAUAUGGUUUAAAAUUUAUGUGCUAUAAUAUGGAAUUAGUUAUACUGUAACAAUAUUUUACUUUGACAUAUUUAAUUUUUUAAUUUAACUCUAAUAAUUUCACUCAAUUCAAUUCGACUCGACACAAAUUUCUUUUCACUUGACUCGAUUCGAGAAAAAUUAAAAUAGGAAUUGUCAACUCAAUUAACUCAAAAAAAUUUCACUCGAUUUGAUCGAACGCUCACCCCUAGUUGCCCCUUUCCUUGCAUGCCACACAUCAUCAUUCGGAAAAUAUUUUCCCUUCAAAACCCUCACCCACAGAGCUUGUUGAUGAUUGAUCAUCCUCCACCUUUGCUUUGCUAAAAGUGCAACAUUAAACAUGUUUAAAUCUCUAGAUCCCAAACCCCCUGCACUCUUACUAUGUCAUUUUAAACCAACUCAUCCAAUGAACCUCUCUCCUCUUAGUUUCUCCACCAAAAAGUUGUCAUUUUAGUAUUAAUCUCAUCACAAAUCUUCUUGGGAAAUUUAAAACACGACAUUGUGUAAGUCAUAAUAGUGCAAGCAAUAGCUUUUAGCAUAAUUUCCUUACCCCUUGGCUUAACAUCUUCAGUUUCCAUCCUUUAUUUUUUAUUUUAUUUUAUUUUUUGCAAAAUUCCUUCUUUGACAAAGCCCAUAGCUUGCCUCUUUGUUUUGCCCUCAAAAGUAGGAAUUCCUAGGUAUGAUCCUACAUUAUCAGCUACUGCAAUCUGUAGCUCUUGACUCAUAUUCACUCUUUGUUACUGUGGCACAUUUGCACUAAAAAAGAUACUCGACUUGCUGAAGUUAAAAAGCUGACCUGAUGCUGCACGAUGGCCAGCUAUGCAGUAGCUAAAACUUUGAUGCAUGAUUUUGACCAGUUGAUAGCUGGUUUCUUACUUGGUUCCUUUGUAACUUAUUUUUUGUUAAGCUUUGAAUGUAUUGAUGUUUAGGUGUUGAUUAAGCUGAUUAGUCAGCUUAUCCAAGUGUGCAGCUCAUGUUUUGCAAGUUUCAAGUUUAGUUAGUGGUAGUAGUUAGUGUUUGGUAAGUUGGUUGACUUGAAACCUUGUAAUGCUUUGUUGAUUGUAAUGAAAAUUUUGUUUUUCAUUUCUUUGCUACUCACUUUGGUCUUCUUUGCGAAAACACCAAUAACUUGUAUCAAGAGUAUGUUGUCUUUAAGGGCCAUUUUUUUGUUUUUUGUUUUUCGUUUCUUGCUGAAAAAGAUAAAAGUUGUUUUGUUUCUUGUUGUUGUAAAACAUGUCUUCAACAAACUUCUGACCACCUUCACUACCUAUUUUUGCUUGAGAGAACUACUACAUUUGGGUAGUGAAGAUGAAGACCUACCUCCAGAUUUAGGAGCCACCACCCUUGAGAGCAAAUCCCACCGUUUCUUAGAUAAGGAAACACAAUGAUGAUUGUGCCAAGAAAUACAAAGCAAUGUCUUGUCUAUAGAAUGGUGUUUCAAAUGUUAUUUUCAUCAGGAUCUUGACUUAUGAAAUUCCCAAACAAGCGUGGGACAAGCUGAAGGGGGAGUUCCAAGGCUCAAAAGACAAGACAACAACACCUCAUCAAUCUGAAGAAGGAUUUUGAAAAAUUGAAGAUAAAAGAGGCUGAGACAGUUAAGCAAUACUCAAAUAGGAUUAUGGCAAUGGUUAAUAGCAUCAGGUUACUUGGAGACCAACUCAAUGAUAGCAAGAUUGUUGAUAAGGUUAUCACAACACUUCUUGAAAGGCAUGAGUCCAAAUUUUCCUCUAUGAAAGACUCAAGGGACUUGUCAAGAAUUUACUUGUUUGAGUUGAUAAAUGUUCUCUAUGCUUAAGAGCAUAGAAGAGCAAGUAGACAGAAGAAGCAUUCUAGGCCAAAAGCAAGGAAGGCUUGAGUUCCUCAAGCUAUAAGGGAAAGAAGAGCUGGAAUGAAAAGAAAGAAAAGCCAAAAAGAGAUGUUGAAAGGAAGAAGUAUCCUGUAACACCCUAUACCCAAUCCAAUCACCGAGUGUAGGUACCAAAUGUCACAAUGACCCAUGUUAACUAUUAACAUUCCUAACCUAAAGCGUUUAUUUAAUUUGAAGAUAUGAAAUUUUUAAAAUCUGACAUUUACUAUAUCCUAUAAGUAUGACAAUAUUACAAACUUGUCACCUUAAGAGAGACCAACCCACAUUUUCACAUUCUAAAAUUUGGUGCUUUAAAACAAACACAUCAUCUAAGUCUCCAAGGUGUGAUCUCUAAAGGAGUUCCUCUAUAUACAUGGAACGGUUUACGCGUCCAACUCUCAAUUCUGGUGGUGUCUAGCUUGUUCCCUCCACUCUAGCCCAGAGUCAAAUCAUUAUCCUACACCCAAGGCAACAAAUUCAUAAGUCCAAAAGAACUUAGUGAGGUUCCAUGAUUUUGUACAACAAAAUAUCUUAUUAUUAUUUUUGAAAUGAGGUAGAAGCAAAGAAAAAUUCAAACUCCCUAUUUGUCCAUGGGAUUUCCACUGAUUAUUCCAGCACGAUUAUCGCCUUGCCCUUUUCUUAAUACCUUUACCUUUUUUAUUAAAGAUUGGAAUAGAAAUGUUUAUGGAUUCUUAAGUUUUUGUAAGAGGUAUCUCAUGAGGAAGCUUUCCAAGGUCCAAGUGAAGUUAAAGCGCUCUGAUUCUAUUCAUCUAGUUCAUCAAGAAUUGGAGAUUCGAAACAAGUUGGAAAACAUGUUUAAUCAUAAGGAGUUAUUGUAGAGACAAAAGGUGAUGUGUGAUUGGUUGCAUUUAGGUGACAGAAAUAUGAAAUUCUUUCAUAGUCAUUCACUUUAGAGGAGAAAGUUUAAUCGUAUCAUGGCCUUGCGUCUUGAUAAUGGUGAGUGAUGUUCUGAUCAAAGUAGACUUCAAACUGAGGUUGCGGGAUUCUUUGAAAGAUUAUAUGGUGAAACUCUGGAGUUGAUGAGGGAUCUUCUGAUGGAUAUCUUUCCACGUCUUAAUUUAUCUUAUAUUACUUACUUGGAAGAGCCAGUAACUAAUGAUGAGAUUAAAAGGGCUUUAUUUGAAAUGGAUCUAAUGAAAACCUUAGGAAGUGAUAAUUUCCAUGCACUUCUUUUCCAGAGCCAGUGGGAUAUUGUUGGCAGUGUUGUUUGUGAGUGGGUACAAGGUAUUUUUGCAGGGAAUCCUAUUGAUUCAAAUUUGAAUAACACAUUGAUCGUUCUUAUCCCAAAAAAAUAGAUUUUCUUGAGAACUUUAAUCAAUUUCAUCCAAUCAGUCUUUGCUCUGUCUUGUAUAACUGGUGAUGAAAGUGAUUGCAAAUCGAUUUAAGUUGGUUUUUCCCAACUUUAUUUCAUAGGAACAAGGUGGUUUCAUUGUUGGGCACAAUAUCUCAAAUAAUAUUAUUAUAGAGCAAGAAGUCAUUCACACCAUGAGAAGGAAACGUAAUGGGAAGAAUUGGAUGGCUAUUAAGUUCGAUUUAGAAAAGACGUAUGACAGAGUAAAUUGGGAAUUUAUUGAUGUAUCUUUACAAGUUGUCGGGAUACUUGAUUUACUUCUAAAAGUGAUCAUGUCAUCCAUUUCUUCUUUGACCAUGCAGAUUCUUUGGAAUGGAGUUUGUACAGCCCAAUUUUGCCCCAAUCCCACUACCCAAAAUUUGACCCGGGCCCAUACCAGCAAAACCCUCUACCCAAUACAACCCAAAAAACCCCACCUAAACCUACCCAACUCAAUUAAACCAAAUACAGCCCAACAAAUUUAACCCAGCAGCCCAAAGGUGAGGCCCAAUGCCUAGGUCCAAUUCCCCCCAAAAAAAAUCUGUCUAGGGUUUCAGAGACUGAAACCCUAGGCACCGCAUCUGCUGACUUUAGGGCUUCUGUCGCCGCCGCCGGACGUCCCAUCCGCACCAACUCCACCGCCACUGUCCCAUCGUCCCACUUGCGCCAUUACCUGCAAAUAAAGAAACAAGCAAGAAACAGUAGCAAACAAGACAACAAAAGCAGUAGCAUUCGGCUAUAAAAGCCGAAGAAAAUGUAUUUUGAGUCUCUGGGCUUCCGAUCUUUGGUAACUAAAGAAACAAAUAUUAGCAAAAAGAAAUAAAAACAACAAAAUUUGAAGGUGAUUUGCGAUUCUCCUGUUUUAGAUUUUUUUUUUCAUUUUUUCUCUACAUCUACAAACAAAGAAACAGUAAAAAAGAAAAUGAAACGGUACCUAAGUCGCUUCGCUUGCACCGUCGCCGGAGUCCGUCUUCGGGUCUCCGAAAUCGGACCAGGAAAGUGACGUUCGAGGUUUUGCUCCACGGUCCCAAGGCUAUGAAGAUUCGGCCUUUAAUCGGCCCCCUGAAACGGUUUUAAAAAAACGACCGUCAGGUGCCUCCGACCACCGCGCAUGGCGGGAUCGACGGUGGCCCGUUCGGCCAAGGGAAAAGGGGGUUGAGGGGUUUCUUCUCUUCUUUUUUUUUUUGAUUUUUUUAGCAGUGAAAGAAUGAAAUUUUUUUUAAAAAAAAUUGUUUUAAAUAGGAGUUAUGAAACGGCGUCGUUUAAGACCCGCGCGGUGACCCGACCCGAGGGGAGGAUCCGCGUGUUUUCGCUUAGGAGGAUAUUUACGCGCGCAGUCCCUCAUAUUUUUCAGCGUAUUACAAUUUGGUCCUAUUUUGUUGUUUUCUUUUAUUUUGAUUUAGCCCUAAGAUUUUACUUUUGUUUCAUUUUAGUCCAUUGAGGUGCUGCGUUUUAGAACUUUGGGUUUAUUUUCUGUUUCGGUCCUUCCCUUUUUACGCGCGUCGCAAUUGGAUCCUUUUCGUUUUCCUUUAUUUCGAAUUGGCCCUAUAUUUUUUAUUUCAUUUCGAUUUAAUCCCUUUUUUAGCAUCUUUAGUCAAUUUUUGUUAACUAUUAUUUUAAUGUUACCAUUAUUAUUAUUAUUAUUAUUAUUAUUAUUAUUAUUAUUAUCAUCUUUAUUUUUAUUAUUAUUAUUAUUAUUAAUAUCAAUAUUAUUAUUAUUAUCAUUAUAUUUCCAUUUAUAUUUACUUAUGUCAUCUCUAAAUAUAUGUGCCAUGUUAUAUUAUAUUAUUAUUAUAUAAGUGCUUAUAUAUAUAUAUAUAUAUAUUUCAUAUAUAAUUUAUUUAAUAUAUAUAUAAAUACUUUUUUUAUAUAUAUGCAUAUUUAUGUACGUAUAUCUAUGUACCUUUUUUUUCUUCUCAUGAAUAUAUGUAUACAUACUUAUAUAUAUGUAUUUUACUUAAUUAUUUUAAAAUACUCAUAUGUACAUACAUUUUUUUUUAUAUUUUAUAAUUUUCAUAUUUAUUUUCUUUUAUUUUUAUGUUCAUUUAUGUACUUAUUUAUAUGUUUAUUUUUAUGCUUUAGUUUAUUUAUUUGUUUAUUUGCUAUAGUAUAUGCAUGAUUGAUUUAUUAUUCGUUUUUGUUCAUUUUUAUUUAUAUAAUCAUGUUUAUUAUUCCAUCAUGCAUAUAAAUAUCAUAUUUCAAAAAAAAAGAAAAUAUUUCUAAUUGAGGCAAUAUUUAGCAUUUGGAAAUUCGAGAAAACGUGCCCUAAGGUGCUGGGUGUCGAUUUUUCUCGUUCAACCAAAUAGCUAAAUAUCCUUUCAAAAAUUUUAAAAUAAGGCAAUGUUUUGCGUUUGGAAAUUCGAGGAAACAUGCCCUAAGGUGCUGGGUGUCGAUUUUUCUCAUUCAACCAAAUGGCUUAAUACCUUUUUAAAACUUUUCAAAUAAGGCAAUGUUUUGCGUUUGGGAAAUUCGAGAGAACGUGCCCUAAGAUGCUGGGUGUCGAUUUUUCUCGUUCAACCAAAUGGCUUAAUAUCCUUUUAAAAAUUUUGAAAUAAGGCAAUGUUUUGCAUUUGGGAAAUUCGAGAAAACGUGCCCUAAGGUACUGGGUGUCGAUUUUUCUCAUUUAACCGAAUAGCCAAAUAUCCUCUUGAAUUUCAAUCCAUAUCAUCCGAGUUUUUUUUUAGGAUCAUAUUUUUAACUUCAUUAAAGUUUUCAAUUUUUCGACACUAAGACAUUAAGUAAUCAACUAGGUACCAAUUUUGGGCGUAUCGAGGGUGCUAAUCCUUCCUCGUGCGUAACUGAUUCCCGAACUCGUUUUUCUGAAUUUCGUGGACCAAACUUGUUGUUUUAAUAAAAUCAAAUCAUUUAUUAAAAACAACCACUUUUCAAGGUGACCCGAUCACACAUUAUCAAAAAGGAUUGGUGGCGACUCCCAUUUUCGUUUUCAUUUUCAAAAAACCCAAGUCGACCCCGUUUUCCAUCCAAAAAAUAGUGUCAACAGAAUUCCUACUCGAAAGUUUAAACCGGUAAGGGGGAUUCGUCAGGGUUGUCCACUUUCUCUAUACCUGUUUGUUCUGUGCAUGAAAUGGCUAGGGCAUAUUAUUUGUUCAAAAUUUAACGAGGGUAGGUGGAAGCCAAUUCAACUUUCGAGAUCGGGGCCAAUUCUUUGCCAAUUGUUUUUUGCUGACGACUUGGUCAUCUUUUGUAAAGUAGAUCUUGAUCAAGUUUGUUUAUUGGAGAGAGUUCUGAAUCAUUUCUAUAAGCUUUCUAGGCACAAGGUCAGUGACAGGAAAAGCAGUAUUUUGUUUUCCAUAGAGUUUGAAAAUAAUAUGAGCAAUCAAAUUAGCUCUAUGCUCCAUUUUCAAGAAAUUCAGAACCUUGGUACCUACUUAGGGGUACCUCGCUUACAUGAUAGGGUUACUAAAGGUACCCUAAGCUAUAUGGUUGAUAAAGUAAGGCGCAAGUUUCAAAAUUGGGAUGCAAGGAAGUUAUUCAUAGCUGGAAGAAUAACUCUAGCCCAAUCUGUUUUACUCUCUAUUUCGAAUUAUUUCAUGCAGUCUAUAUUGAGACUGGAAGGAAUUUAUGAUGAGAUUGAUAUAUUGGCAAGGCAAUUCAUUUGGGGGAGCUCUAACGGUCAUCCAAAAAUGUCUUUAGUAGGGUGGGAUUCCAUCUGUCAGCCUAAUUCUCGAGGUGCCCUUGGUUUCUGUCACUUGCAAGAUCAAAAUAUAUCGUUUAUUAUGAAGAUUAUGUUUAAUCUAGUCUCCAAAGAUAAUGUCUUGUAGGUUUGUGUCCUUUGUUCGAAAUAUGGUUGGAAAGAGCAAAUACCAAAAUCAAUUGCUAGGAGUCCAUGUUCACAGUUAUGGCAAGCCUUCUAUAAGGUUUGGACUCUCUUCUGUGAGAACUUAGUUUGGUCUAUUGGUGGUGGUACUAAUAUUUGAUGCUGGAAAGCUUCAUGGAUUCCUAUUAUUGGUCCCUUAAGUUCCCAUAUUCCCUUUUAUGCUAACCUUGACAUGGAAUGUUCUCUCAAGGAUUUGGUCACGCUAGAUGGUACUUGGAAUUUGGAUAUGUUUUGUAUUUGGUUGUCUGAUGAAGUGAUUAAUCGUAUUAUCAGUAUUCCCCCAUUCAUCUUGAUUCGGGUUCGAAUAGAGUGAUUUGGGCUUGUUCGGCCUCAAGCUCCUUCUCUGUUCUGAAUGCAUAUUGGUCGUUUAAAGAAGAAACUUGGAACCCCAUAGAGAAAUUCUUGAAGAGCACUUGGAAGUAUUAGGGACCUCAAAUAGUGAGAUUUUUCCUUUAGUUGGCAUCUAAGCAGAGACUUCUACUGAAUUCGGAUUGUACCCAGUAAGGAAUUGGUUUUAUCAACUCUUGUCCUAUAUGUGGGCAUGGUUUAGAGGAUAUUAUUCAUGUUCUUCGGGAUUGUCCGACAGCUAAGGAUGUGUAGAUGCAUGUGAUUCCAAUAGAGCUUCAAUAAAGGUUCUUUUUUAUGACUUUCAGGUUUGGUUUUCUUCUAAUCUGUGUUGUAAUUUGAGUUUGCAGGGUCGUGGAGUUACUUGGUCAUCCCUUUUUGGAUUAAUAGCUUGGCACAUUUGGAAGAAUAGAAACCUUUUCAUAUUCCAAAACAUUACAUAGUCAGCAACUGAAGUUGUUAAAGCCUCCAUUACCUGGGCUCAAUUCGAAUUUCAUCAAAAUGGAUACAAGAGCAAUACUUUGAUGCGAAGCCAUAAUCUUCAUACCAAUAAGAUGUGGGUUCACUUAUUCAUGAAUGGCGCAAUUGCAAGGGAGACAGGAAACAUUGUUGCUUGAGGUAUGCUGCGGGAUCAAUUUGGAAAUUGGAUUCUCGGCUUCAAUCGAUACUUGGGAAAAUGUUCACCUUUUAAGGAGGAACUUUGGGGCAUCUUGGAUGGGCUCCUUGUUAUGCUUAAUAAAGGAUAUAGAUAAACGAGUAAUAAUUCAGACCGAUAAUCUUGAUGUGGUCCAAGCUUUAUCCAAUAUUGAACUAGAGGAAUCAUGCAUCACCUUGUUUAGAAGGCUCCAUAAAACUAUGAGAUCUGAAAGGCAUGGCAAAUUAGAUAUGUGCCUAGAGAACACAACAUUGUCGCGAACCGGCUGGCCAAACUUAACCUAAAGUGGAAAUUGAGUUUACAAGUUUUUAAUGUGGCCCUAAAAGAAGUCCUUGCGGUCUUACAACAGGAUAAACUGAGUAGUACUUUUAAGCAUUUGAAUUAAUGUAAUUUAUCAUUUAUUUUCACAAAGAAAGAUUACAAGUAAAAAAUUAUUAAAGGUAAAAUCAUUUGCUUUCAUUGAGGUUACUGAAGCAAAAUCUAUAUCAUAAAUAUAUGAUAAACUUAAAAGAAUCGAAAAAAACUAAGACAUAAUUUAUACAUACGAUUGAAAACUCACCCCUCACAAUUAUAGUCUCAUUAGCUUGGUUUCCGCAAAUCAAUCCACAAUUAUUUGAUUUGUGCCUCGUCGUUAAUUAAUGUUAAGAAUCUGACGUACACGCUAGGGUGAAAAAUUGUAAUUCUUCAUCAAUUUCAGUCAGUCCUUUCUUUGCGGGUAACAUCAUCUGCUUGAUUUAUAGAAAAAAUAGGAGGCAAUUGAUGUUGAAAUGAAUUUUGAUUAACUUGACUUUCAACUUUUUUUUUUAUUAGUCUAAAUACGGACCAGGUCUGAUGUUGCAAAUUAAAGUUAUUGCUACGUUUUAUGUAAUACACAUGAUAACGAGUAUUAGUCAAUUUAAAAGUAAAAAACAAAAAUAAAAAAUUGAGUCUCGUUUACAAAGGAAGAACAAGCAUGUAACUUGAUGCAAUUAAUUUAGACCGGAGAAGAAACUUUAUGCUGUCUGCUGUUCGGCGUAAAUUUGUGGUGUCUCAUCAAUUUAUUAUUGUUUUAUAAGGUUAUUUUGCACUUUUUUUUUCAAAGAGGGGAGUAAAAUAAAUCUCACAUUUGACAUUAAUUAUCCUAUUUUACUUGCAAUACAAAACAUGAAAGGGGGGGACGCAAGAAGAAAACUUGUUUUCUUGACAGCUAUAAUAUUUCCAUAAACUCGGACCAUAGUCUUCAUUGCUGAAUUUUCGACACCAUUCAGAUGAAGACUUUAUAAUAAAUUUUCACAAUACUACAGCCCUCAGAUUAAGACUUAAUAAUAAUUUCCACAAUGAAAUGUAAACAUGAUUGGCGCAAUUUUCUUGGAAUCUUAUAUAAAUAUAAGCUCCCCACUCCACUUAUUUUCACUCAGCCUUCUCAUUUUACAAUAUCCAUUUGCUUGAUUUUAUUGUCUAUAUCUGAGAGAAACAUGAAAGGGUGGUUACUACUGUUGUAUUUUCUGCUAUUUUUCCUCUUCAUUACAUGUAAUUCUUCUACUCUACCAUUAUCGUCGUGCCCUCAUGACCAAAGUUUUGCCUUGACCCAGUUCAGCAACUCCUUUUCCAUUGAUUGCCCCUUUUUUAACCCAUGGUGUACUGUAUCGAGGGCUAAGACAAUCUCCUGGAAGGAAGGAACAGACUGUUGUUUGUGGGAUGGGGUUAAGUGUGAUACUGAAACAAGGAAUGUGAUUGCCCUUGAUCUUAGUUGCAGCUGCCUUGUUGGCCCUUUCCCUUCUAAUAGCACCCUCUUCCUCCUCCGCCAUCUCCGUCAGCUUAACCUCGCCGGGAAUGAUUUCAGAUUCUCCCCAAUGGCAUCCCAGUUUGGUCGAUUGACUAAUUUGACCCAUCUAAACAUCUAUGGGUCACUUUUUCAAGGUAAUAUCCCCCUAGAAAUCUCACACCUUUCCAAACUGUUGUCCCUCAAUCUUUCCAAAAAUUAUGAGUUGAUCUUUGAAGGACAUGUCUUCGAAGUGUCGUGAAAAACUUGACACAACUAAGACACCUUCUUCUCACAGGUGUCAAUAUGUCUUCAGUUGUACCUACCUCUUUCCGUAACAUGUCUUCUUACAUAACAACUCUUAUCCUUGAGGAGAAUGGACUUCAAGGAAAGUUCCCCGAAGAUGUUUUCGGCUUUCCAUACCUGCAGAAGUUCCACUUUGCAAUAUUUCUUCUAGAAUCCGGGCAGGAACAGGAACUAGAACUCAAGUUCCCAAAGACAAAUUGGAGUGGUCCCCUCAAGUCAUUGCAAGUUUCAUCUCCAUAUUUGCAGGAACUACCUGAUUCAAUUGGCAAUCUUAGAUCUUUGGAGAUAUUGGAUCUUUCCCAUAGCAAUUUAAGAUGGCCAACUCCAGUAUCUCUCGGCAACCUCACUCAACUUGAGUAUCUAGAUCUUUCCCAUAAUAACCUUAGUGGUCCUAUUCCAUGGUCAGUUUUCAACCUCACUCAAGUUCAGUUUCUAGAUUUUUCAAAAAACAAGUUGGAGGGUUCCCUUCCUUCUCAAGUGAGUGGGCUUUCACAGCUUAGUAUUCUACUCUUUGAUCACAACUUUCUCAGUGGCAGGGUACCGACCUGGUUGUUCUCUCUUCCUUCUUUAGUUAAGUUAAGGCUCAAUAACAACAAGCUGAAUGGCAACUUUGAAUUGGACAAACUAUCAGAGCGCAGCAAACUUGAGCAGCUCUCUCUCUCAGAUAAUGCUUUGUCAUCAUUUACCAAUGCAAGCAAUGCCAAUUACUCGUUGCCUAAUCUUGUAAGUUUAGAUCUCUCUUCUUGCAGCAUAAGUGAAUUUCCAAAUUUUGUUAGAAAUCUAGAAGGUUUAACCUAUCUAGACCUUUCUAACAAUAGAAUUCAUGUCCUCGAGGAAGAUAUGUUUCUAAAGCUCAAAAGCCUUAAAACUUUGGAUCUACACAACAGUCCGCUGUCUGUGAGUGACAAUAGCAACCUGAGUGUUGUGUUACCCCAUCUUGAUACGUUGUGGUUGUCUUCUUGUAAUAUAACUGAGUUUUCAAAUUUCUUGACAAUGCAAGAGAGUUUGACUUAUUUAGAUAUUUCAAACAACAGCAUUCAAGGUCAAAUUACCCAAAAAGAAAACAAUUGGAAAAGCUACUUACAAUAUCUUGAUCUUUCUAACAAUUUUUUGACAGCUUUAAAAUAUUAUCCAUGGAAGAAUAUAAGAUUUCUUAAGCUUGGGUCCAACCUGCUAGAAGGGCCACUUCUAGUACCACCAAUUUCAACGACUGUUUUCUCAAUUUCAAAGAACAGAUUGAAUGGAGAAAUUCCAUCUUCGAUAUGCAAUUUGGUUGAUUCGGAGUUCGGUGUACUUCUAGACUUGGCCCAUAACAACUUGAGUGGAGCAAUCCCAAAAUGUCUGGGCUUGAGAAAUAUUUUCAUUUUGGAUUUACAGAUGAAUAGGUUUCAUGGGAACAUCCCUGAUUUUUGUGUUGAGGAAAACCACAGGUUACAAACACUUAACCUCAACAACAAUGAUUUUGAUGGGUCAUUACCUAAAUCCUUGGCGAAUUGUGUUGAUCUAGAAGUGCUGAAUCUUGGAAACAACAAGAUAAAUGACAUAUUUCCCCACUGGUUGGGAAAUCUUCCUCGGCUACAAGUUCUUGCGUUGCGCUCCAACUAUUUCCAUGGUCAAAUAACACAUUUUGAAAAUGAGUCGCAUUUCUCGACUUUGCGAAUCUUAGACAUCUCGCAUAAUAAGUUCUCUGGUUUAAUGCCAACAACAUACUUCACAAGUUUCCAAGGUAUGAUGAGUUUGGCUGAUGUUCAAAUGGGAUAUAUAGGAGCUGAAGAUACUUAUUACCGCGUUUCCGUGGCUGUCACAAUGAAAGGUGUGGACAUUGAGCUUGAGAAAAUUCUAACUGUUUUUGCAGCCAUCGAUAUGUCAAGCAACAAAUUCGAAGGAACAAUUCCAGCAACAGUUGGAAACCUUCUUUCUCUCCAGGUGCUCAACUUUUCUCACAACCACUUAACCGGUCAUAUUCCUUCCUCAUUGGGGAAUUUGGUAGCACUUGAGUCGCUAGAUCUUUCUUGCAACGAGCUUGUUGGGGGGAUUCCUUCGGAGUUGACUGGUUUGAAUUUUCUUGAAGUGUUAAACCUGUCAGAGAACCAGCUCGUUGGGCUCAUACCUCAGGGAAAACAAUUCAACACCUUUCUCAACGAUUCCUACGCUGGCAAUAUAGGACUGUGUGGGUUUCCCGUUUCAAAAAGCUGCGGCCGUAGUGAACCACCACCAGCAAUUUUUGAUGAAGAGGAAGUUGAUUCUGCAUUUGGAUUGGAUUGGAAAUUUGUAAUGAUGGGUUAUGGAUGUGGAAUGGCUUUUGGGUUUUCAGCUGGCUACAUCAUGAUGACAAUUCGUAAACCAAAAUGGCUUGUUGGGAUGGUUCAACGAGUCGGCAACAAAAUUCCGAAGAGAUUCAAGAAAUAUCGUUGAGGAAGACGGAAUUUGUGAAGACAGAUGUUUGCUCAUCAGUGGCUGCUUGAACAGAGUUUCUCUUAUUUUAAUUUUAAGAUGUAAAAAAAAGUUAUCGGCAAAUAAAUCUAGAAGAUAUAAUGAAAUUUAAUAAUUAUCUAUAUUUUGUACUAAUGAAAAUAGUUGAUUAAGCAUUAAGCGGAACAUAACAAUCAUAUUAAUUUUUAUAACAAAUUUCUUCAGUAAUUUUUUUCUAAAACAAAUUAAUAAUAUAAGAAUAGAAAGAAAUUUUGUUUCUAUAUGUUUGGGUGUCAUAAAAAUAGAUAGUGAUAUAUUUAACAAUAAACAUAAUUAAUCAAUGAAUAUCUAUUUAAAUAAUUAUAAUUAUUUGUUAAUAAUCAAAUGACAUUAUUUUUGAAUUAAAGAGACAUAAUACAUUAUUAUGAAUAAUGGCAACUUUUAAUUAAUAACCAAAUAACUUAUAAUUUUUCAUUUAUAACUAUUAAAACGCUAUAUAUUUUAAAAUUAUUUUAACAUAUAUGACAAAAUUUAUAAUUAAAUAGUAAAUUGGAAAUUCUUACGGUUCCAUGGUCUGUCUCUCAGCUAGUUUCUAUCAUUUCCUCAAUCCAAUCAAAGGAACCAUAAUUUUCUUUUAAUUUGGAUCACUUUGAUUUGAAAUUUUAAUAGCGGAAUUUUAUCAUAGGCAAAUUUAAUGUCUAGAUUUUUCCCAAAUUAUUAUGCCUUAAGUCUCUACCUCUUUUCGAAAUUAAUUUUUUUUUUUGUGAAAAUUGAGUUGGUAUAAGGUUUGAUAUUUAAGAUUAUUUGUUGAAAAAAAGGGGUAAAUUUAGUCGCGAAUUUAAAUGAAGGCAAAGAGGUUCCAAGGUGAAAAAGAUGAAACAGAACAAAUGCUUGCAAUGCAUAAAUCAAGUAAUUAUGUUAUUUAUUUGCAGAAGAAUGAGAUAGAGGGUCCAAUUGCCCCACUGCUCAACCUUUUUCAUCUUCAUCUUUCCUCCAAUAAGUUGAGUGAAAUGGACAAAACUAUCAAAACUUACUACCUUCUUAAUAAAUUCAAUUUUGAUUUAUUCUUGCUCCAGAAAACAAAAAAAUUAAAUAAUAAGCUCAGCAAACGCUGAAUUAAGUUUGAAAAUUAAUUAUUUAACUGCUAAAAUUCAAAUCAAUUCAUUUAUUAUAUAAUUAUUUUCACUCAUUUAAACUUUAUCUCUUUUAACUAUGGUUUGGUGUUGCAACCAUGCCUUUCUCCUACAUCUUUUUAAUAACUAGUCAUUGAGGAUAUGUUUGUUUUAGCUUCCUCUUAUUGUUAGUUUUCGGGGUGUUUGGUAAUCAGAGUUUUGGGACUUUUUUAGUUGAUUUGGGCACAAAUGGAUGAUUGAAUAGUCAAACUCUCUAAUUGUAAUGUUUAGUGAAUAAAGGUUUGUAAGAGCUUGCUGAGUUAAAACCUCCAAAACAAAAAAUGCAAAGAUGGGCAACGUUUUUCACAACUAAUAAUUGGGAAUGAGAUAUGUGUGGAAUAACACAUCUGACGAUACUUACUCAAAAGUUACUCCCUUUUGCCACAUGCUCUCAAAUCUAAUAGGGGUGCCAAGAUAUCUAAUACCCUCCAUUCUCCCAUUUUUACUUUCAUGUCCAAAGUCCGAAAUAAAUCUCAAAAAAGAAAAUAAACUUCACCAUGGAUCUACAAUAAUCAACUAUGGAGAUUCAUUUGCAAGAUUCAUUUUCUAUGCUUUUACAUAACUACAUCAGAUUAAAGUAAAGUUUUUGACCCAAUAUUUAGGGUCAUAAAUGUAGAUCUAAAUUUUAUUCUUCCCAAAGCAUUUUCGGAUGCUAAAUGCAAUUUCACUCAAGAAAUUGAGCGUGCGAGUACAAAUGAAAUGAAAAAAAGUUCAAUUCUCAAUAAAUAUUCAAAAUUUCAUCUUAGAUCGGUUUAGUUCAAUUCUGACAACAUUUUCAUUUUCUAUAAAAAGAAGAUAGAAAUCAUUUAUUUUAAUUUUGAUUUUACAAAGAUAUUUAAAAAGAAUCAAAAUACUUUUUAAAUGUUGCAAUUAACAACAGUUACAAUUCUAAUUAAGUUUAAUUUGGAGAAAAAAUCAAAUGUAAGUAAGUCUAAUAUGGUUCGAGCUUCCUUGACUUAAAUUGCAAUUAGCUUCGGUGUACUUUCUUACAAAGACUAAAUGUAGCCCUGAAUUUAAUCCAUAAUAGGAUGCGUGAGUGUGACAAAUGAAAAUUUCAACCCUUUCCACAAGCAUUGAUCUAUCUCUCAACCAGUUCUCAUGGAAAAUUGGAAGCCAAACUUAGUUAUUGUCGGUUAAUAGAAAAGGAUGCAAUUAACAAAAUAUUUUUUAUUAACUUGACUUCGAUGUUUUUUAGUGUAAAUAGAGAGUAGAUUUGAAGUUUUUGUUACGUAUCUGUAAUACACAUGAAAACAAGUUUUUGAAACUAGCAAAGUUGGUUUAGGGUAUUUUUCAGAUUAUUUUGAUUUAAAUCUUAUAUUUUGUAGAUUUUUUUUUAAAAAUUUAUUUUGAUCUAAGUCCGAGUAUAUUUUGAUUUCUAGCCUUUUGUUUUUUAUAUUAAAUUAAUUUUAGUUUUAAUCGUAUAUUUUUUGAAAUUUAAAUUAAAAUAAUUCCAAAGAAGACUUAAUAAUAGUUUUGAUAAAUAAAUAAAAAACUACAACCGUUGGAUUAAGAAUUUCCCCAAUGAAAUGUGAAGAUGAUUGGAGUUGUUUGCUUAGAAUUUAAUAUAAAUGCAUGCUCACCACUCCAUUUUACAUUCUCCUUUUGCUCGACAUCUCUGAGAAAAACAUGAAAGGGUGGUUAAUACACUUGUAUUUUCUGUUAUUUUCCCUCUUCUUUUCCUCUAAUUCUUGUGCUCUACCACUAUUGUCGUGCCCUCAUGACCAAAGUGCUGCCUUAAACCAAUUCAGCAACUCCUUCUCCGUUGAUUGCUCCUAUUUCGACCCAUGGGAAGCACACAUGACUAAGACAAUCUCCUGGAUGGAAGGGACAAAUUGUUGUCUGUGGGAUGGGGUUAACACUGAUACCGAAACAGGGAAUGUGAUUGCCCUUGAUCUUAGCUUCAGCUGCCUUGUUGGUCCUCUCCAAUCUAACAGCACCCUCUUCCUUCUAUCCCAUCUCCGUCAACUUAACCUUGCUGGGAAUAAUUUCAACAUGUCCCCGAUGGCAUCCCAGUUUGGUCAGUUGACUAGUUUGACCCAUCUAAACAUCUCUGGUUCAGGAUUUAGUGGUAAAAUCCCCCUUGCAAUCUCACACCUUUCUGAACUGUUGUCCCUCGAUCUGUCCGGUAAUUAUGGUUUGAUCUUUGAAGGGCAUGUCUUUGAAAAUGUCGUGAAAAACUUGACGCAACUAAGACACCUUCAUCUCUCAAAUAUCGAUAUGUCUUCAGUUGUGCCUACCUCUUUCCUUAACAUGUCUUCUUACAUAACAACUCUUAUCCUUGAGGAGAAUGGACUUCAAGGAAAGUUCCCAGAAGAUGUUUUCCACUUUCCAUACCUGCAGAAGUUCGAUCUUUUUGAGAUCGAAAACCAGCUAGAACUCAAGUUCCCAAAGACAAAUUGGAGUGGUCCCCUCAAGUCAUUGCAAGUCAGACGUGCAUAUUUGCAGGAACUACCUGAUUCAAUUGGCAAUCUUAGAUCUUUGGAGAUAUUGGAUCUUCUCCGUAGUAAUUUAAAAGGGCCAUUCCAGCAUCUCUCGGAAACCUCACACAACUUGAAUAUCUAGAUCUUUCCUCUAAUAACUUUUGGUGCUCCUAUUCCAUGUUCAGUUUUCAACCUCACUCAAGUUCAGUUUCUAGAUUUUUCUUGAAACGAGUUGGUGGGUUCCCUUCCAUCAAAAGUGAGUGGGCUUUCACAACUUAGAAUUCUACGCCUUCAUCACAACUUUCUCAGUGGCGGAGUACCAUCCUGGUUGUUCACUCUUCCAUCUUUAGUUCAGUUAAGGCUCAAUAGUGACAAGUUCAAUGGCAAUUUUGAAUUGGACAAACUAUCAGAGCUCAGCAAACUUGAGGUGCUCUCUCUCUCAGAUAAUGCUUUGUUAUCAUUCACCAGUGUAAGCAAUGCCAAUUACUCUUUGUCUAAUCUUGCGAGAUUAGAACUCUCUUCUUGCAACAUCAGCGAAUUUCCAAAUUUUGUAAGAAACCUAGAAGGUUUGACCGAUCUAGACCUUUCUUACAAUAGAAUUCAUGUUAUCGAGGCAGAUAUGUUUCUAAAGCUUAAAGGCCCUAAAGUCUUGGAUCUUUCACACAACAUUCCGUUGUCUGUGCGCGACGAUAGCGAGGUUGAUCUUGUUUUGCCCAUUCUUAAUAGUUUGUUGUU
rnacentral:lncRNA from 1 species